rnacentral:lncRNA from 1 species
CGGCCGCCGGUUCGGGCGCCAGGGGCUCGGCCUCGCCCGCCUCAGGUGACCAGCGAGAGACGGGCACGGCCGGGAGCGGCGGCCGGGAGCCGGGGUCACAGGAGCGGAGCCCGGGCUGCCGCUGAAGGUCGCCCCGCCGGGCUCCCCCGGUAGCUGGGGACACGAAGAGAGCUGCCCAUGGCCAACAGCGCGCCUCAGUACGCUGUGCGGCUUGUACCAUCCCGCCAAAGUGGCAAAGAGGCUGAACAACGAGUGGGCAUCAAUUCCAUGCAACAUUCGUUACACCCUGUUUGAGCAGAGCCAUUAUGCUUGUCCUUUAAUAGUGUGGUGAGUUGUCACCCCAGGAACGCAGUCAUGUAACAGUUUUCAGGACACUUCAAAAUUCAGAAACAGAACUCAGCUAGCUUUACUGGAAACUCUUCAUCUUCUGUGCAUGUAGGAAGAACAGAGGAGUUGAAAAAGAUAAGGAAGUUUGGCUGAACUCAACCAGGAUUGACAAUUAAAAAACCUCUAGUUUGUUGUCACUCAUGAUAGAUUAUUCCAGAAACUCCAUUUUUGUGUAAGUUGGAGAGGGGAGUAAGGGUGGUAGAAAAAUUUAAAUGCAUAUGGCAAACAGCCUUCAAAAUAAAU